rnacentral:rRNA from 1 species
GGGAAUAUUGCACAAUGGGCGCAAGCCUGAUGCAGCGACGCCGCGUGAGGGAUGACGGCCUUCGGGUUGUAAACCUCUUUCAGCAGGGAAGAAGCGCAAGUGACGGUACCUGCAGAAGAAGCGCCGGCUAACUACGUGCCAGCAGCCGCGGUAAUACGUAGGGCGCAAGCGUUGUCCGGAAUUAUUGGGCGUAAAGAGCUCGUAGGCGGUUUGUCGCGUCUGCUGUGAAAACGCGAGGCUCAACCUCGCGCCUGCAGUGGGUACGGGUAGACUAGAGUGCGGUAGGGGAGACUGGAAUUCCUGGUGUAGCGGUGGAAUGCGCAGAUAUCAGGAGGAACACCGGUGGCGAAGGCGGGUCUCUGGGCCGUAACUGACGCUGAGGAGCGAAAGCAUGGGGAGCGAACA